rnacentral:lncRNA from 1 species
AAUUGUUCCCCUUCUGGGUUGCUUUCCAGACAUAUCAAUAUUUUGCUAAUAUGAGAAUAUUCAGCCAGAAAGCAACACAAUAUGCUAGUUCAGCUGCUUUAUUGAAACCGUAUUUCUGAGGGCUGUUUUUCACUUUAGUGACUCAUGUGAUAUGUGCCAUUUUAACGUGGUGUGUAGGACACACAGUUGUUCCAACACUUCAUUAUUUGGCUCGAAGCAGUACAGUACAUUUUUCUGUUUAGGGAACAAGUUUGGAUUUACCAUUGACUCAGGAGAACUUCACAAUGUAUCUUUGGGUCAAGGACAGGAAGCUGUAGCAGAAAUAGCUAUGGAAAAAGCAUCAAAAGAAGGCCACUGGGUUAUACUUCAACAAAGUGGCUCGACACAUUAGAGAAAUUACUGAAGAAACCCAGUGAACAAGUCACUCAGGCUACUGUGUUUUGAGGAGCGGGAACCUGCCCCUUCUCCUAAAGAACAUCUCAUUCCAGAGGGAUUUUGGAAACCUCCUUUUAAAAUAACUGAUAAGCCACCACCUGAAACGCUGUCUGAUCGUCGUGCUGCACUGGAUAAUUUUGACCAGUUUGAUCGGAAGUCAGUGCUCGCUCCUGGGUUUGCAGUCUCGUCAAACCUGGAUUAUGAAGGUUACCAUAAAAAUAUGGAUGAAAUGCUACCUCCCAAAAGCCCCAUUCGUUAUGGCCUGCACCCCAAUGUGGAGAUUGCUUCUGUGACAAUAACUGCAGUCAACCCGCUCCAGAUGCUAUUAGAACUGCAGUUCAAAUAUUCAGUCACUGGGGAAGGAGCCUCUCAAGCUGUGGAAGACAAGGGUGAGUUGGCAAUCUCCUCAGAAAUGGAGCAACUACAGACAGCUCUUUUUUUGAUAAUCUUCCUGACACUUGGAUGAGACUGGCUUAUCCAUCAACAUACAGUUGCUCAGUGCUCAAGGAGUUGGAAGAGGACCCCGAUAUAAAUUCUGAAACCCUACUGAAUAGCACAGCCACCCUGGCAUAGGGGGUGCCACUGUUAGACCACGAGCACGGCAGACCAAGAUGGUACAGUGUGCACUUAAAGGCUGUGGCAAGAAGCACAGCAAACGCUGUAGUUCCAGUCACAGCAGUGUGGCAUUCAGCAAGUUUACAGUGUGUUUGUGUGCUAUCUGUAGAAGAGGUAAGCAAAGACAAGGAAAUCUGCUUGGGUUUUUUUCCUUGAUAAUUUUUGAUAAAAAUCCAUACAGUUUUUUGCUUCUGAUAACAAAAACGAACAACUAAAGACGGUCUCUGUUUUGCAAAAAUGGGAAACGGAUAGCUGUCAACGGAGUGUGGGUGAGCGCUGCAGUAACCCGUUUGGAAGGGCUCUAGCACCAGAAAAAUGCCUAACAGCUUAGCAGGCUACGAGAGAGGGUAGGAUCUGCCGGUCUGAACGAUGGUCUGGUCUGUCAUGAUGGGUGUGAAGUCUGCAGAUCGAAAAAUAUUAUUCUGCUUCCUGGGUCUGCACACUGUUGUGAAGGCAGCAUCUCUCUGAUCAGCUGCCCCCUUCUACUGAGCGUAGUCUAAAUGAUCUGUAGCCUCCUUUUUCUGACUCUGUUCAGAGAAAUUAUUGCAGCUUUAUUUCAGUUAUUAUUUGCAUGCUUUCCUUAACAGUUUACUAUGAGCAGCUUCUGAUUUAACCUUACAUGUUCUGAAGUUCAGAAAAAAAAAAGAUAAUUUUUAUAUUGGCACUUAAUAUUUUCAGAGUAAUAGGAGGCACCUCACACAUACAUCUCAUGUUCCAGCCUUUUGGGAAAUGCAUUCAGGCAGUCUUAACUAACCUGCUUUACAAGGACUGUUGAACCGGCUCGCCUUUUUCUAUUGCUAGAGCUUUUCAUGUUAUAUUUUGCUGCUCCAAUUUCUGUAUUUUACAUGCAUUUUGCAUCACAAAAUGCAGAAGUUUAAAGGCUCAU